UACGUAGGGUGCAAGCGUUAAUCGGAAUUACUGGGCGUAAAGCGUGCGCAGGCGGUUUUGUAAGUCUGUCGUGAAAGCCCCGGGCUCAACCUGGGAAUUGCGAUGGAGACUGCAAGGCUUGAAUCUGGCAGAGGGGGGUAGAAUUCCACGUGUAGCAGUGAAAUGCGUAGAGAUGUGGAGGAACACCGAUGGCGAAGGCAGCCCCCUGGGUCAACACUGACGCUCAGGCACGAAAGCGUGGGGAGCAAACAGG
rnacentral:rRNA from 1 species